UGGGCUUGAGAGCUCAGAUUGAGCGACGCGCAGCUGCGGGCCAUUCGCUCCUAGCUUCGCGGACGAGCCGGGUCUCCGAGUGUGCCGCGGGACGUGGUCAGAGUCCAAGAGUCACUGCCCGAACCUGGUGGCUGAAACCCAACCGGAAGCCUCGGAGCCUCCGCCUCCCUCCAGGACCGCUGGGGUCUCCGGUGGGCAUGAAUCAGGUUGUAAGUGGUCGCUGCACAGUCCCAGGAUCAUCGCUGCCCCUUCUCCCGCUCCUCCCCGCCGCACCAUCUUUUUCUUUCAGACCGUGCUUUACAGCCCUUAAUGUGCAUAAAAUAAACUGUGUCCCACGGAACAUGCCGCCUUCUCUCACGCGGGCCGAGAGGAUUGUGAACCGGUAGGCGGCAAAGUGUCACACGGGGAAAGCCCAGACUACGGACUGCUGGGAAUCUGGGUGUACCCGGAGCCUCCCUGGGUGGCCCGGGACUUCGAGGGGCCACCUCUGCUCCCACGGGAUUCGGCCAGGGCACGAAUUGGUGAAAAGCGGGAUGGAGACGCUAGAGGAACACAAUGUCACACGCCAAGCUUUCAAGGUGCACAUGACGGCUGCAGACACUCAAGCCCUUAAAAGGAGCAUUUAAACUUGGGGGGGGGGGAGUACGGAUGGAACUCAGAGGCACACCAAUUAGUGUGAACACAACACUCGCGGGGACUUUGCGGGAGCGUUCACAAUUCCGGAGUGCACGGGGACCGGGAGGUGGCUCCGCCCCGCCUCGCUCCAGUCAAACUUCAGUCUCUGCCGGUAGAAAGGCGUCUCUGCGCUCCCAGGGAUCUACUCGCGCGUCGCCUGUACAAACCCUCUGCUGUGUGGCCUUGUAUCUUUAGGUAGGGGGACAUCUUUUGUCUCUCGGCAAGAAGUUUUCCUCCGGGGAAGAUAAAGUAAUCGAUAGGGCCUUUUUAAAUAGCUCCGAGUUUCCUGUCGGGCCAGGAGUAUCAGCGCGCACACCAAAUCUGCUCUGGUAUGUCAUCUUAUCUCCCUUCCCCGCUGUUGUCCCCAAACGCUGCCUGUCAAGAGAGACGCCACCCGCAUUAGGACCCAGACUGGGGCCCUUCCGCUCGGGGUCACGCGCUGCCCCCUCGGCUCCGCUGUCCUUCGCGUUCCUGGAGGGUGGGAAGGAGAUGCUGCAGCCCGCAUGAAGAUUCUGGGACAUGGAGCGGGUCACUGGGGCACACUGUCACUCAGAACGGGUGUGUGUGGACCGCUUUUCAACCACAAACACAAGGAACAGCCAAACAGCGCAUUGACUGCUUGUCUGUGUGAAGAAAAACCAGGCUCAUUCUUCGAAGGGGCCAUUGGAUCUCAGAGCGCUCCAGGCUGGCCCCAGCUUUCCCUAACUCCAGGAUGACUUUGGAAGGGGAGAGGAGAGGGUCUGGCCUCAGAAUCCUGCCGUUUUCCUUUGCUUCAACUGCUCCACUUCCAACCUGCAGGGAACCGGAGUGGGGUUGCUUAGCCAACACAGAAAGGCCAAGGUAGUGGUGACAAGUGACCACCGCUUGGGCAGUUCUUUCUUUCUUUCUCUCUUUCUUUCUUUCUUUCUUUCUUUCUUUCUUUCUUUCUUUCUUUCUUUCUUUCUUUCUUUCUUUCUUUCUUUCUUUCUUUCUUUCUUUCUUUGUUUUUUCCGAGACAGGGUUUCUCUGUGUAUCCCUGGCUGUCCUGGAACUCACUCUGUAGAUCAGGGUAGCCUCGAACUCAGAAAUCUGCCUGCCUCUGCCUCCCAAGUGCUAGGAUUAAAGGCAUGCACCAUCACUGCCUGGCCACUUUUUUUCUUAAGGUAGUGAGUGAUUCCUGGGGAAAUCUUUGGGCCAGGACUUUGCAGCCUGUGCCCCCCUGGUUCUAAGACAACCUGAUCAGAGAGGUAGGCCCAGAUACUCUUUGAGUGUCUACGCAUCAUUAUGUGCCUGCCCUUCAUUUUUUUUCUAUAUUCAGCCAGCUGUGUCUUCCUUUUUAAACAAAGGAAAAGAAACCCUCUCAGAUGCCCUCCAUCCCCAGGUCCCCAGUCCCCACUGGGUGCAUAUCCAGCCUCCUUUCUGUCACACUGACACACACUGCAGGGGCAGUGGGGAGUUGGGGGGAAUCACUUCUUGGCUGCAAUACAGGCUUGCUCCCUUCCAAUUGCCCAGGAUCAUUCUGGAUUACUCAAACUGCUGAGAGAGGACCACCCACCAAAACACAGCCCCAGGAUAAUCUAGGCCUUGAGAAAAUCUCCCUUGUCAUUUAUCAGGGUUUAUUUACCUAAGAUAGCAGUUUCUGUACGGAAACAAAGUAGGGGCAAGCAUCACCCUCCCCUCCUGCUAAGGAAAAGGCAUCUCUGACUCUUUAGAUCAGCCUUCUCCCAAUGGGCCUGUCCGUAUUAUCCCAGCCCUAACUGAAGCUGAUUCUUGGCAAUAGCAAAAGGUUGAUAUAGGAACCAGUAGUGUUCUCAUAGGAUGGAUUCUGAACUUUCUGUGCUGUGGGGAAACCCACAGACCGCAAACCGAACAACUCAGUGGUUUGGGAGUCAUGGCUCUGGUCUCUUGUGUUAUUCUGACAACUAGUCCUUCCCUUCAGGGCAGACCUGGAGAUGGCCACUUCCCCCACUUAGGCAGAGUGUUCAGUUAGAGCUCUGUUUGAAGAAACAUUUGAAGGGUGUCUUUCCCUCUAACAAAAAAUGGGAGACUAGAGAGUGACAGGAAUGGCUCUCUUCCUGUCCUAUGGAUGUCACCGCCAGGGACACUUAGACCUUUUCUUGAGGGGAAGCUAUAGUGCCUGGUUGGUAAAGGCAAUGGAAAAAGAGGUGGAGCAGCUGGUCCUGCUCUAUCUCUGUGACCCACCCUUCCACUCUGCAGGAGACACAGGGGCAGUAGUUCCUAGUUCUCAGGACUUUUGAUUCCAAUACAAAAGUGCAUAGAAUAAAAGUGAAAUUCAUUUUCCCAAACUGAACGAAAGAACACCCAGCCUGGGCUUCCUCAGAUAACUAAAAUUCUCUCUCUCUCUCUCUCUCUCUCUCUCUCUCUCUCUCUCUCUCUCUCUCUCUCUCUCUCUCUCUCUCUCUCUCCCCGUCUCCCUCUCCCUCUCUCUCUCUCUCUCUCUCUCUCUGUCUCUCCCUCUCUCUCUCCCUCUCUCUCUCUCUCUCUCUCUCUCUCUCUCUCUCUCUCUCUCCCUCCCUCUCUCUCUCUGCCUUAGGGAUGUGCUGGAAUUAUAGAUGUGUGCCACCACACAGCACUCUUGACCCGAAAACUAGAUUACUCUCACCUACUUUUGAGCAUGAAGGAGCGUGACUUUGUGGCUGACAAUAUUUAUGCAAUGUGGGUUCAUGAGGUCCUGCCAGGUUGGAGCUGUCAAGUCUUUUUGCUCUCAUUGUAUUAAUAUACUCCAGGUUGAGCAUUCUUGACUAAAAUUCCAAAUGCCUACAGUCUGAAACAACCCCUGUACCUGCACACUGGGGCUCUGUCUGCCUAUCAAAUGGAAAGGGCAAGAACACUGUGCAAAAAAUGACUUCCAGGUUGUACAUAUAUUAAGCAGAUGGAUUCUGCAUUGACAAUGGAGUUCUGUCCCUGAGAUGUCUCUCACUAUAAACAAAUAUGUAGGCAAGUAUCCCCAACUCAAAAUCCAAAGGGAUAGAACCCUGGUAGGUGAUGCUUCAGAUAAGGGGUGCCUCAUGCUGUUUUCCAUUCCUGGUCUGCCAGGGUCUCUUUCAUGUCACAUUUCCUGUUUUUGUUUGUUUUUUGUUGUUGUUGUUUUUGUUUUUGUUUUGUUUUUUUGCAUGUCACAGAAUAGUGAGUGUUCAUUCUGAGGACUCUAGUACCUGCCUUUCACACACACUUUUCUAUUGUGUAAACACCCCUGAGUAGCAUUGCUGUGACAUAGGAUAUUCACAGACUCAGUUUUAGUUGGCUCUCAACAGUUUUCCACACUGCUGACCUGCACUCUAUCCAUUCUGGAUGGGUAUGAGGCUUGCAGCUUCUCAAGAGCCAGCCAAUGCUAUGGAUUUUAAAGUUUAAGCCAUUCUGGCAGGGAUGCGUUAUCUGGACACCUAGAGAAUCGAGCUAUCUCCAAUGGCUUAUUGGCUUUUUUAAUAUAUUUGCCAAGGUGCCUGUCUAUCUCUUUUGUCUUUUAUUCUCAUUAAUAUGCUUUUAUUCAAUUCUUAAAAUUGCUCAUUUUAACUUUAUUUUUUUCUGGUACAAUAAUUGUAACUAUUGCAUAUAUUGUGUAAUGUUUUGAUAAAUAUAUAGUUUGCCAAAUGCUUAAACCGAGUUAAACAUACAAAUUUUCUCAAAUACCAUUCUUCCUGGCUUUCUGUACUCUGGGUUGCUAAGAUGCACAAUGUCUCCCACUCUGACCCAGCACCUUUCUACACAGUUGCUUGCUCCCUGCUGAGCGCUGGCUUCUCUCUACUGCCCACUCACCCCACUAGUUGCCUUUUGUUGUUUGUAUUUGAGACAAGGUUCGCUAUGCCCUGACUGGCAUGGAACUCGUUAUAUAGACCACACUUGCCUCAAAGUUAUAGGUAUGUGCCACCCCCGGCUUGCCUCUUGUUGUUGUUGUUUGUUUGUUUGCUUUGUCUUUUAACUCUCCUAGGAACAAACCUUGUGUGAGUGUGUGAGUGUGUGUGUGUGUGUGUGUGUGUGUGUGUGUGUGUGUGUGUGUGUAUGUGUGUGUGUGUGUGUGUGUGUAUAACCCUCUGGGCCAGUGACCAUGGUUCUUCUGGCCUUGAGGUUGUGUUAGUACUAGCACAUGUAUCUGGGGUGUCUGCAGCUGAGCAAUCUUCUCGUCUGAACAACAAUGACCUUCAACCAAGGAAAGUCUUGAAGACAGAACUCUGGACUAGUUCUGUUUGCUUUUCUCCAAGUUGCUAAAACAUCUCUGUCUGUCUUAAUGAUCCAUCGAAUGGAACCAUCUGCUCCAUUUAUUACCCUGUGUCCUCUUUGGAUGGGUCAGAUCCUACCACGCAGUCUAAGCGAUUUUUAAUCCCAUGGCUGUUGUUUUGGGUCUUGUACUUGGUGGUAAGAACUAGAUCUAAGGCCUCUCCAACAGUCCACCUAGCCACGUCUCUCAAUCCUAAACUCCAUGUUCUUACAUUUUUAAAAUUAAAAUGCAUUUAUUUUGUGUGUCUAUGCCAUGACAGCUGGCACAAGGGACUCAGGGGACAAGUUUCAGGAAUCAUUUCCUUCCCUGUUUGUGGCCCGGGAAUCAAAUGCAGGUUGCCAGCUGGUGGCAAGUGCCUUUACCCCAUGAACCCUGAACUGUUUCAGCUGUCUUCAUGCUUCUAAAAAAUCAAACUAAGGUGACUGCAGGUCAGAAACAAAACCACAAAAAACCUGAAACCUUCCUCUUGGAAUAUGAGUGAAAUAUAAGCAUCAUUUAAUACAGUCCCUCUGCAAUUUGGUAGUUCUAAAACACUUUUUUUUUCAUAUUAGAUGGAGACAGCAUAUGCUUUUUCUAAAUUAUUUUGAUUGAUUGCUUGAUUUUAUUGAGACAGGGUUUCUCUGUGUAGCCUUGGCUGUCCUGGAAAUCACACUGUAGACCAGGCUGGCCUCAGACUCACAGAGAAGCCGGAGUUCUGGGAUUAAAGGGAUCCACCACCAAGGCAGGCUUAUUUUGAUCAUUUAAAAGUGUCUGUAACCCACUGAUAUUUUUCUUUGCAUGUUCUAACUAUUGGGCUUUUCACUUCUUUUCUUACUGAUGUUUGAAGUCUCUUUUUCAAUUAGCUAGUGACUCCUUGUCAGGUUAUUUUAUGUGAUAUUUUAUUGUUAAUUAAUUAAUAUUGUUAUUACUAUUUUACCAUUUUCCUGAUUGUCUUCUUAAAAGUUUUAUUUAGGUUGUAGGAUGCUUGGUAAUUUUUAAAAGGGAUAUUCAUACACAGUAGGGCUUUGGUUUCUAGUUAGAACUCACCAUGGGCCAUGGUAGGGCAGGGCAGCCCGGUGUUAAGUCCACAGGACAAAGGCCAUAAGCUGUUUUACCUUGAGCACCAGGAACCGUGAUAGGCUAGCCCAUCGAGGCAUUUCCAUCCUGGACAUCAAGCCUGAGGAAGUGUUAGUGAGCGCUCCAAGGUCAGAAAGAAACUUCUGGCAAAGCAAGCAGAGCAGAGGGAGGAAAGCUUGUGAAGUCAGGCUUGGGGAAGGGAAGAGCCCAAGAAGAGUUUCAGGGGAAAGACCUCGGGGAAUGACACACAGGAAACUCUUGUGGGCAGACUCAGGCUCUGGAUUAUGGCUGCAUCCUACUUUGGGACAAUGUUUGCCCUUCUCGAACCUUGAUGUUCUCAUCUGAAAAAUAAGACAAUAGUCAAGGUUUCUUAAAAGACUUUGAGCAUUAACAUAAGAGAGCAUCCUCAAUAGCAGGGUGUUCCAAUGUAUUCUCUCCGAUAGGAGAAAAGCAUGAGGUCUUGCUACAGGGUGACAACAACAGAUUUUUCCCAAUCCCAGUGACUUCUGCACAGAUUGGAAGGUGGUCCCAGACUCUCAGACUCCUGGGAGUGGGGCCUGGUCCUAGCCUGAGUUCUUUUACCUGGGCCUUAGCCUGCUGGUUAAGGGUCACUCACCCAAGGCCCUAUGCUCAGUCACUGCCUGGGGUUGCUAGUCCCAGAGCACCAGGAGAGAGGGGGAAGGGGAGGGAAUGAGAUGGAGAAACAGAGAGUAGAAAGAGAAAGAGAGAGGUAAUUGAGUGGGAAAAGAGGGUGGAGAGGAGAGGUGAGGAGAGGAGAGGAGACUGGAGGAGGAACUUCUAGGGAACCUAACUUUUGUAAAUUUGAAAGAAGGUUCCAAGCAUGCAAGAUCCUUGCUUCCCACCUCCCCAAUCCCCAGCCCUGUUUCCUUGACCCUUGCUUUAGGUCUGCACGGGACUAAAGCGCCUGGAGGAGCCCUGGAGGAGCCUGUCCCAUGAGCCGCAUGCACAGCCACCAGGUCUCUUCCUGGUAACUCGGGCACAGAAAACUGUUUUUCUGGGGUACAGUUUCAGAGAGAAAGGGGGGGCCUGUGUGGGUCCCGCCUGGUUGUGUUUGGAAGGGAGAAGAGAAGGAUACAUUUUGAGAUCUGCUGCGCAGCAGUGAGAACGUGGCACAAUAGAUAACAAUAAUCACUAGAGUAUUGUGGGCUAUAUAGUAAUGCAUAAUUUUUACACAAGUCAAGUGUUAUAAUUAAGGAGAAAUGUAUUAAAAUUUUCAUAGUAAGAGUCAAUCUAAAAUGUCUCAAUAUAAGAAAUCAGAGUUAGGCAAGCUGGUCGACAUGUUAAUUAGCUUAAUUUAAUCAUUUUAUAAUCAUUUUAUAAUGUACACACAUCAAGAAGCAUCACAUGGUGCCAUUAUAUCCAAUGCAUAUAUGUAAUUAUGAUAUAUCGAUUAAAAUAAUACACAAAAAUGAGGAAGGUAUGGGCACCCCUUGUCAAUGGCUGGAAAAAUUACCUGUGAUGCUCUGGAGGACCAAACAGGUCAGGAUAAAUGUGAAUUUAUCCUCCUAACUCUCUUUGCUUGAUCCUCCUCCUACUCCAUUGGAGGGAUCAGUGAGCAUGGAAUAAGAUAUGCACCAUGCAAAAGAAAAACCAAACAACCAAACAACAACGUCUCAUUGCUGGGAACGCACUUUUGAGUUAACUGUUUCCUUACUUCAUGGUGGUGCUGGGGAUGGAGGUCCUGCCUUGCCCAAGCUAGGAGAGUGCUUUGUCACACAGCAUGCAGCCCCUCCUACUCCUUAAAACUGGUUCAGUUGGCAGAUUUGGGCGGGUUCUGACUCACCCAGUGUCCUCAGUGUUGGCGAGUGGGCUGAAGCUGAGCCCAGGUCCUUGGUGGUCCAGCUGUGUUUAAGAACCCCCUGGAAUCCUAGGUCACUGCAGAUUCUUGGUCUCCCAUUCAGGAAGUGAGUGAAGCCCGGAAUCUGUUAGUAAAAUCGCAGCAGGCAGGCUGCUUCCCUGCUAGCAGGCUCUGAUAAAGCUGCAGCCUGUAUAUUCUCCAGCUCUUCUCUUUUCUCUUUCUGAGACUCCUCCUGGGGGUCAUCCAGACCUCCUCAUUUCUAGAAAGGCAACAAGGCUGCCCUCAGAAAGCUUUCCCCUGCAGUCCCCAGGACUGGUGGGGCUCAGACUCUAUAAGACCCCAUCAGGGCUGGGAUUCAAUCCUCACCCACAAAGGACAUCAACUGAAGGGAAAAAGGUAAUGCAUGGGCAUUGAAGGGAUAGCCUGUGCUCAGAAGCCGCGUAAAUAUGCCCUGGCCAUGGUGGUGCAGGGAAGGUCCAGUCAGGAGGAUCCCUGGUGUCUCUGGGUAGACAGUCUAGCCUAAUAGGUGGUCUCCAGGCCAAGGAGAAAUGUUCUCUCAGUGAAGGUGACAGGAUUCCCAAGGAUGACAGCAGAGGUAGUCCUUGGCCUGCACACACACAAACACACACACAAACACGGAUACACACACAAACACACACACGAACAUGCAUACACACACAAACACACACACGAACACAGAUACACACACAAACACACACACGAACACGGAUACACACACAAACACACACACGAACAAGAAUACACACACAAACAUGCAUACACACACAAACACACACAUGAACAUGCAUACACACAUACACACAAGCACACAGAACAUGCAUUACACACACACACAAACGUUCACACAUACGUGUGAACAUGAAUAUAUACAUAUAUGAAUAAAAUAAAAAUAACCCCUUAGAGAGGAAAAUAAUAAACACUUACUUUCUUAUCUCAAAUUCAUGCUCCUUAACUUUCAACAUUCAAGAUUCCUUUCCUUUCCUUUCCUUUCCUUUCCUUUCCUUUCCUUUCCUUUCCUUUCCUUUCCUUUCCUUUCCUUUCCUUUCCUUUCCUUUCCUUUCUUUUGUUUUUUUGUUUUUUGUUUGUGUUUUUUUGAGUCAGGGUUUCUCUGUGUAGCCCUGACUGUGGAAUUCCAUAUGUAGACCAAGCUGGCCUUGACCUCAGAGUUCUAUCUGCCUAUGCCUCCCAAGUGCUGGGAUUAAAGGCAAGUACCGCCAUCACACAGCCAAGAUUCCUAUUAUGUUAAAAUUAUAUAUGUCAUGAAUAUAUUCACUCCUGCCUCUCUGUGUGACCCUAACUGGUCCAGAACUAAGUAGACCAGACUGGUCUCAAACUCACUCACAGAAAUCCACCUGCCUCUGCCCCCAAUGAAAGCAUGUGUCACCAUGCCCAGCUAUGAAUAUGCUCUUAAAAUUUACUUACUCAUUUAUUUUAUGUGCAUUGGUGUUUUGCCUCCAUGUAUGCCUAAGUGAGGAUAUAGGAUUCUCUAGAACCGGACUUACAGACCGUUCUGAGCUGCUGUGUGGGUGCUGGGAGUUAACCCCUGUGGAGGAGCAGCCAGUGCUUGUAACCACUGAGCCAUCUCUACAGCUCCAUUUUCACUGAUUGUUUCUUAUUUUUCCUCUGAUUUUAAAUUUAUUUUAUCUUUAAAAAGAUUUGUUUAUGUUUAUUUUAUAUGUAUUGGUGUGUUGACUGAGUGCAUAUCUGCAUGAGGGUGUUGAAUCCCCUGGAACUGGGGUUACUGACAGUUGUGAGCAGCCAUGUGGCUGGUGGAAGUUGAACUCAGGACCUCUGGAAGAGCAGCCAGUACUCUUUAAUCCCUGAGCCAUCUCUCCAGCCCCUUAUUUUUAGUUGAAAUAGAAUGACAUCACUUUCUCCUCUCCGUUUCCUCCCUCUGCUCCCAGAUACCUUCUCGUGAAUCAUUCCUAUGUCUUCCUCGAGCCUGAUAGCCUUUUUUUCUUUAAUCAGUAUUGAUAAGCCUGUUUUUCUUUGAUUAUUAUUGCUACUCACAUAUGCUUGUGU
rnacentral:lncRNA from 1 species